AUGUCGCCAUGCCGCCAGUAAUACCGGUAAAGCCGUUUCUUUAUGCAUUACGAAAGCAUCGCCAUAGUCGCGAUCUUUUUUAUCACCGGAAUAUUCUGUCUUAUGUUUUUCCACCGCUUUUUUUAAUGCUUCUGAUAAACCGCCAACCUCAUCCUGCUGCGGCAGUAAAAUGUUCCCGGAUGAACUGACAGCUGACACAUCGCCCAUUAAAUUAUCUCCUCUGACUCGGCCUCUUCCUGCUGUAUCUCUCGCUGGAUAUAGUGUCUUUUCUGACGGAUUAUCCAGCGUUGAUAGUUCCCUUCUUUGCGCAACCAAUAUUUACUUUUUUUCUGAAACUCUUCCCUUUUCUUUUCCAGCUCGCUCCGUUUUUCCUGAAUUUGUAUAAUCUGGAGUUCUAAAU
rnacentral:misc_RNA from 1 species